rnacentral:rRNA from 1 species
UACGGGGGGGGCAAGCGUUGUUCGGAAUUACUGGGCGUAAAGAGCUCGUAGGCGGUCUGUCGCGUCGGUCGUGAAAACUUGGGGCUUAACCCUGAGCUUGCGGUCGAUACGGGCAUGACUGGAGUUCGGUAGGGGAGGCUGGAAUUCCUGGUGUAGCGGUGAAAUGCGCAGAUAUCAGGAGGAACACCGGUGGCGAAGGCGGGUCUCUGGGCCGAUACUGACGCUGAGGAGCGAAAGCGUGGGGAGCGAACAGG